rnacentral:rRNA from 1 species
UACGUAGGGACCGAGCGUUGUCCGGAUUCAUUGGGCGUAAAGAGCUCGUAGGCGGCCACUCAAGUCGAAUGUGAAACCUCGAGGCUUAACCUCGAGCCUGCAUUCGAUACUGGGCGGCUAGAGUCUGGUAGGGGGAUCUGGAAUUCCUGGUGUAGCGGUGGAAUGCGCAGAUAUCGAGGAGGAACACCGGUGGCGAAGGCGGGUCUCUGGGCCGUAACUGACGCUGAGACGCGAAAGCGUGGGGAGCGAACAGG